rnacentral:rRNA from 1 species
AACGUACGCUGGCGGCGCGCCUAACACAUGCAAGUCGAACGCAGUAGCAAUACUGAGUGGCGGACGGGUGAGUAACAUGUGGGAAUCUGCCUUGUGGUUCAGGACAACAUUGGGAAACCGAUGCUAAUACUGGAUAAGCCCUUACGGGGAAAGUUUUAAUGCCAUAAGAUGAGCCCGCAUUUGAUUAGUUAGUUGGUGAGGUAAUGGCUCACCAAGACAAUGAUCAAUAGCUGAUCUGAGAGGAUGAUCAGCCACACUGGGACUGAGACACGGCCCAGACUCCUACGGGAGGCAGCAGUGGGGAAUCUUGCACAAUGGAGGAAACUCUGAUGCAGCGAUGCCGCGUGAGUGAAGAAGGCCUUUGGGUUGUAAAGCUCUUUUGUAGGGGAAGAUAAUGACUGUACCCUAAGAAUAAGGUCCGGCUAACUUCGUGCCAGCCGCCGCGGUAA